rnacentral:rRNA from 1 species
GACGAACGCUGGCGGCGCGCUUAACACAUGCAAGUCGAACGGAAAGGCCUGCUUUCCCUUGUGGAUUGCGGGUACUCGAGUGGCGAACGGGUGAGUAACACGUGAGUGAUCUGCCCCCAACUUGGGUAUAAGCCUGGGAAACUGGGUCUAAUUCCCGAUAGGACUGCAGGGUGGUGCCUGUGGUGGAAAACGAUUUUCUAGUGGUUGGGGAUGAGCUCGCGGCCUAUCAGCUUGUUGGUGGGGCAAUGGCCUACCAAGGCGGCGACGGGUAGCCGGCCUGAGAGGGUGGACAGCCACAUUGGGACUGGGAUACGGCCCAGACUCCUACGGGAGGCAGCAGUGGGGAAUAUUGCACAAUGGGCGGAAGCCUGAUGCAGCGACGCCGCGUGGGAGAUGACGGCCUUCGGGUGGUAAACUCCUUUCGACCGCGAGGAAGCCACCUGGUUGGAAGGGUGGUGACGGUAGUGGUAGAAGAAGCACCGGCUAACUACGUG